UUAUUAACAAAUUCAUAAACAAAUAAAAUAUAGCAGGUUUAAUAAGUAGCAGGUUUCAACAGGUUCCCAACAUAGAAGUGAAGCAGCAUCGAAGGAUUAUUCCAAGUUGGAUGGGUGGUCGUUUUAGAAACAUGGAGAGUUUGGUGUUACACAGUGUGACAUAGAGAGGCACUGUAAGACACAGUUAUAGAGUUUAAUUGGAACAUAAGUUACUAAACACGCUCACUAGAGAGCGUAAAAGUCUGUGACGUAGAGAAGAUAAUAACGCAUAAACAUGAACGCAAAUUCUACUAUCUGGAAGCCGCGGCUAUUUUCUAAGAAUAUCGAUUAGAAAAGAAAUAUUGUUUAUCUUGCUUAAAACACCAAAUGAAAGUGACAACAGCCGUUCGAACGAUAGUUCGGAAGUCAAGCAUGAGUAUCAAUACGGAACAUACUACCUCAAUUUCCUCUUCUAGUAAUGAUGAAAAUGUUAAUUUGCUAUAUUUUCUUUUAAUGGAAUUUGACAAGUGGAAGUAAAAGGCAUCGGAUUAAUGAUUAUCUUGAAAUUAUCGAUUUGUGGACCGAACAAGAAUUUAAAGAGAAUUUAUGGUUAUCAAGACGUUCAGCAUUAUAUUUAAUUGAUAAGAAAUGUAUAAGAGAAAAAUAUUCCAUGACAGUU